GAGUUUGAUUCUGGCUCAGGAGGAACGCUGGCGGCGUGCCUAACACAUGCAAGUCGAGCGAGAAAUAAAGAAACGGAGAAUUCGUUCAAAGAUUCUUUAUGGAAAGCGGCGGACGGGUGAGUAACGCGUAGGCAACCUGCCUCAUACAAAGGGAUAGCCUCGGGAAACCGGGAUUAAAACCUUAUAAAACCGAAGGAGCACAUGCUUCAUCGGUCAAAGAUUUAUCGGUAUGAGAUGGGCCUGCGUCUGAUUAGCUUGUUGGUGAGGUAACGGCUCACCAAGGCGACGAUCAGUAGCCGACCUGAGAGGGUAAACGGCCACAUUGGAACUGAGACACGGUCCAAACUCCUACGGGAGGCAGCAGUGGGGAAUAUUGCACAAUGGGCGAAAGCCUGAUGCAGCAACGCCGCGUGAGUGAUGAAGGCCCUUGGGUCGUAAAACUCUGUUGAGAGGGAAGAAAAAAAGGACGGUACCUCUGAGGAG
rnacentral:rRNA from 1 species